AGUUGUCGCGCUGCCGCCCGCUGUCCAUCUCAAACGGCACGUUCCUAUUGUUGACGUUGACGCCGACGUCCAGGUCUCCCUUCCCCGCACGGCUGGUGUCGACUGUGUUUUGGGGACGGGUAGGGUGGAACAACUCAGUAUUUAUGGAGCCCAUAGAAUGCGAUGGCCAAUUCUACGUAAUGGAGCUUCCGCGAUCUCAUCCCGACAUCAUCAGGAUUUCCUCCCUUGAAGAUACUCAGGUUCAAUACAUCACGUGUUGGGCAGGGGCGAGUUUUUACUUAGAACUGGGAAGAAACGUUAACGUAACGAUUCGGAGCUACAUACACGUCCCAAGUAAACGUUCAAUCCCUUAUAGUGCCAUGUGGCACAUAGGGCUGCAUGUUUUAGUAGCACGGUAUAUUUUUACGGGGAGAGGUUGAUAGCUCUUUACCUUUAACUUGCUCCUCUAACAAAGAAUCCCCAUACAUCUCCUCCGAAAAACGGGUUUACCUUAGAUGCCCUGCCCUGGAUUGAACCGGUUUAAAAGCAGUUGGUUUGAUGGUUUUUACAUCGGUCUAAACUAGAGUCUCAUAACCGAAACGGUGACGUAUUUCCAAAGACCGUGGAUUGCUUUAACUUCCAGUGUAACACGAAGAUUACCACCAAGAGUGGUCAAUUUCAAGCCGAGGAAGUCAAUAAUUUUUGUCGAAGUCUUUGGAUGUACUAUACAAAUCAACCAGAACGAUUGUCUAGGACACGCAGAUUUCCGUGCAUUGCAAUAUCAGAU